rnacentral:lncRNA from 1 species
CUUAAAAUCCUGUUGGCAGAAGGAAUAGCUGAAAUGAUUGUGUGUGUCCACUUGUAUUUAACAAUAACUAUAGACAUAAUUAUCUAUUUAAUUUAUAAGUGGACACCUAUCAUUAUUGGAUAUAUUCUUACUUGUAGUUUUUCUUGUUGUGAAUAGCUAUAAAAAGACAAAUCAUUCAAUGAAUUUGCACAGUUUGCAUAAAAACUAAGACAUGCACUUUAUUCCCUGAGACCACAGAAAGGAAAGAAGAUGUUGAAUAGUUCUAAACAAUUCUCACAAGUUCAAAGUAGUUUUUAUUUAACGACCAACCAAUGUUAAACCCUUCUUGAAAGUAGUACAUAUAUCUAGGAAGAGUGAAGACAUUAUUAGAUCCAAUGUGUGUUCAGAAUGAUCGCAAUAUUUACGAAAAUAAAAAGAUGCUGCAUGACUGCUAACCAGACAACUAUCCACAAAAAACAAAGGUCCUUGAUUAUAUAUACAUAUAUGUUAUAUAAAUGUAUAUAUUACCCUCAUAAACCAUUACUUAAUACUUUUU